GGAGCAUGUGGUUUUAAUUCGAUGCAACGCGAAGAACCUUACCUACUCUUGACAUCCAGAGAAGCUUGAAGAGAUUCGAGUGUGCCUUCGGGAACUCUGAGACAGGUGCUGCAUGGCUGUCGUCAGCUCGUGUUGUGAAAUGUUGGGUUAAGUCCCGCAACGAGCGCAACCCUUAUCCUUGUUUGCCAGCACUUCGGGUGGGAACUCCAGGGAGACUGCCGGUGAUAAACCGGAGGAAGGUGGGGACGACGUCAAGUCAUCAUGGCCCUUACGNGGAGGGCUACACACGUGCUACAAUGGCAUAUACAGAGGGCAGCAAGACCGCGAGGUGGAGCGAAUCCCAGAAAGUAUGUCGUAGUCCGGAUCGGAGUCUGCAACUCGACUCCGUGAAGUCGGAAUCGCUAGUAAUCGUGGAUCAGAAUGCCACGGUGAAUACGUUCCCGGGCCUUGUACACACCGCCCGUCACACCAUGGGAGUGGGCUGCACCAGAAGUAGAUAGCUUAACCUUCGGGAGGGCGUUUACCACGGUGUGGUUCAUGACUGGGGUGAAGUCGUAACAAGGUAACCG
rnacentral:rRNA from 1 species